AGAAUCAACGCUGGCGGCGUGCCUAACACAUGCAAGUCGAACGAGAAAGUGGAGCAAUCCAUGAGUAAAGUGGCGACCGGGUGAGUAACACGUGACUAACCUACCUUCAAGUGGGGGAUAACCUCGGGAAACCGAGGCUAAUACCGCAUAAUAUCGCAAGAUCAAAGCAGCAAUGCGCUGGAAGAGGGGGUCGCGGCUGAUUAGCUAGUUGGCGGGGUAACGGCCCACCAAGGCGAAGAUCGGUAUCCGGCCUGAGAGGGCGCACGGACACACUGGAACUGAAACACGGUCCAGACUCCUACGGGAGGCAGCAGUGGGGAAUUUUGCGCAAUGGGGGAAACCCUGACGCAGCAACGCCGCGUGGAGGAUGAAGCCCCUUGGGGCGUAAACUCCUUUCGACCAAGACGAUAAUGACGGUACUGGUGGAAGAAGCACCGGCUAACUCUGCGCCAGCAGCCGC
rnacentral:rRNA from 1 species